UACGUAGGGGGGCUAGCGUUGUCCGGAAUCAUUGGGCGUAAAGCGCGUGUAGGCGGUCCGGUAAGUCCGCUGUGAAAGUCGGGGGGCUCAACCCUCGAAUGCCGGUGGAUACUGUCGGGCUAGAGUGCGGAAGAGGCGAGUGGAAUUCCUGGUGUAGCGGUGAAAUGCGCAGAUAUCAGGAGGAACACCAAUUGCGAAGGCAGCUCGCUGGGACGUUACUGACGCUGGAGACGCGAAAAGCGUGGGGGAGCAAACAGG
rnacentral:rRNA from 1 species